AGUCCAAUUCUCAAUCAUCGGGAAGGUCCUUAACAAAGCUACAGACUUACUAGCAGAACAUGGACUGCCUGGUGCCUUUCGAAGAUAAACUUCCUGCUGCGGCUUUGCAAAGGUUCACAAGCUGCCACCCCUAUGAAGUGCACUUCCACAAGCAAAUCCCAAGGUCUUUUGCAAGGAGGGACGUUCCCACCUCCUGUGCCAGAAUCUGUUGAAGAAACGUGAGUCUCCUGCAGUAUUAAUGCAUGCAUAUGCCAGCUUUUUCACAUUUGUUUCUGCUCAGCAAAUGUGUGAUGAAGACAGAUGUGCCAGGAAUAAUUAUGGGACUACUGACAUGAAUAAGAAAGUGUGACAGUCCAAAAGACAAACAUACUAAGCAGAAAGAAAUAUGUUAUAACUAAAGCCGAAGACAACAGAUUGAAGUAGAAUACGACAAUGACUUCCCGAUGGGGGAGCUACACAAAACUUCACAUUGUAUUGACAUUUGUACAUCCGAAAGCAGUGAUUAACACACACCAACACAAAAAUGUACUAAUAUGCAGAAAUUCAGGACUCAUGGAUUGUGUCUAUGCUAGGUUAAAUCAGGCUGAAGAUUAAUGAAAAAUUUAUUCAUCCUGAAUUCUGA